GAAGGGCGUUUGGUGAAUGCCUUGGCAGUAAGAGGCGAUGAAGGACGUGAUACUCUGCGAUAAGUCAUGGGGAGCUGAGAAUAAGCUUUGAUCCAUGAAUUUCCGAAUGGGGCAACCCACCUGACAGUUCGAUAUAAUAGCCUUUUGGCUGCUUAUAUCUUGCUGAAACAGGUACUUAUAGACUGAAUACAUAGGUUUAUAAGAGCGAACCCGGGGAACUGAAACAUCUAAGUACCCGGAGGAAAGGACAUCAAUUGAGACUCCCCUAGUAGCGGCGAGCGAACGGGGACCAGCCGAGCCUUGAAUGUGAAUAGAAUGGUCUGGAAUGGCCAACCACAGUGGGUGACAGUCCCGUAUAUGAAGCACGAUAGGACGUAUUAAGUAGGGCGGGACACGUGAAAUCCUGUCUGAAGAUCGGGGGACCACCCUCGAAGGCUAAGUACUCCUUACUGACCGAUAGUGAACCAGUACCGUGAGGGAAAGGUGAAAAGCACCCCGACGAGGGGAGUGAAACAGUACCUGAAACCGAACGCCUACAAUCAGUCGGAGGCUCCUUGCGAGCUGACGGCGUACCUUUUGUAUAAUGGGUCAUCGACUUGGUCUCACGAGCAAGCUUAAGCCGUUAGGUGUAGGCGCAGCGAAAGCGAGUCUUAAUAGGGCGCAUGAGUUCGUGGGAUCAGACCCGAAACCGAGUGAUCUAGGCAUGACCAGGAUGAAGGUAAGGUAACACUUACUGGAGGUCCGAACCCACACCUGUUGAAAAAGGUCGGGAUGAGUUGUGCCUAGGGGUGAAAGGCCAAUCAAACUCGGAGAUAGCUGGUUCUCUGCGAAAUCUAUUUAGGUAGAGCGUCAUCCGAAUACCCCGGGGGGUAGAGCACUGGAUGGGUAAUGGGGCCCCACAGGCUUACUGAUCCUAACCAAACUCCGAAUACCCGGGAGUACUAGAUGGCAGACACACCAUGGAUGCUAACGUCCAUGGUGAAGAGGGAAACAACCCUGACCUCCAGCUAAGGCCCCUAAUUCAUGGCUAA
rnacentral:rRNA from 1 species